rnacentral:lncRNA from 1 species
AAACAGUAAUAAAUAGUUGAUCGAACAGUAUACUUUGGUUCUUAAAAUUUAAUAUAUUAUAAUUUUUAGCUCGAAAUUUUUAAAUUAUUACAAUUAAAUCUCACAAUCCGAUUUAGUUGACUAAAUAUUGACAAAUUAUUUUAAUACAGAAGUCAUGCAAUAUCUUAAUUUUUAUUACAUCAUGGAUAAUACUUUCACAUCUCUUAUACAUUAUCAAUUGGGUUAAUUUCAUACAGGUCUUUACAAACAUAGCGAAUUACAAAUAUAUCCCUACAAAAUUUAAUUUUCAUAUGUUAUACCUUUAAAAGUUCUAAUAUUUUCAAAUAUGUUCCUAUCGUUAGAAUCCGUUAGAAAACUUUAGUUAACCAUAGGUUAAAUAAUUAACUCUGAUUAGUUUAUAAGAUAACUUGACAUUUUUGCCUCUCUUAUAUUAUACUAUUAUGAUUUUUGAAGAGAUAUAUUUGAUGGCAAAAUUGACAUUUCACUUAAAAUAUAAAUAGUUCUAUAACAUUAACAAAUCAGAGAAAUAUAUUUGAAAAUAUUAGAACUUUGUAGGGACAACAUAUGAAAGUUGAAUUGUGUAGGGAUAUAUUUGCAAUUUACUAUAUUUGUAGCGAUCUGUAUAAAAUUAAUCCUUAUCAAUUUGUCAAUAUUUAACUCACUAAAUUGGAUUGUACGAUUUAAUUAUAAUAAUUCAGAAAGCUUGAGUCAGAAAUUACAACAAAUUAAAGUUUAAGUACCAAAUUGUUACCAAACUUGCAGUUUGAGGACCAAAGUGUGAUUUAUCCUAAUUUUUAUUUUAUUUUAUUUUAUUUUAUUUUAUUU